rnacentral:rRNA from 1 species
CGUGUGGUUCUAUUUUGUUGGUUUCUAGGACCGCCGUAAUGAUUAAUAGGGACAGUCGGGGGUGUCAGUAUUCAAUUGUCAGAGGUGAAAUUCUUGGAUUUAUUGAAGACUAACUACUGCGAAAGCAUUCACCAAGGAUGUUUUCAUUAAUCAGUGAACGAAAGUUAGGGGAUCGAAGACGAUCAGAUACCGUCGUAGUCUUAACCAUAAACUAUGCCGACUAGGGAUCGGGCGAUGUAUUUUUUGACUCGCUCGGCACCUUACGAGAAAUCAAAGUUUUUGGGUUCUGGGGGGAGUAUGGUCGCAAGGCUGAAACUUAAAGAAAUUGACGGAAGGGCACCACCAGGAGUGGAGCCUGCGGCUUAAUUUGACUCAACACGG